rnacentral:lncRNA from 1 species
UCAUACAUUCAACUACUAAAAUAAAAUACAACAACUAAGCAACCUACAAGUGUAGUACAAAAAGGAUCAGAUUAGUGAGAAUGGGCAUCAAGCUUAAGAUCAAGAUAAGUGAAACAUAAUCAACCUCGUCCUCGACCAAAGGGUCUAGUCCGAGUAGAAGAUGUCAGGGGAUGAAACGCAAUGGAUUGGACAAAAGCUGGCUCACCAGAUGCGGAGGGCUUGGACUGGAGCUGAGUUCUAAUGACAUCUAGUUGGGACAAGACCCCCCUCACUGAAACUUAGAGCCCC